rnacentral:snRNA from 1 species
GUGCUUGCUUUGGCAGAACAUCUGCUAGAACUGGAAAGAUAAAGAGAACAUUAGCAUGGCCCCUGCACAAGGAUGACACACAAAUUCGUGAAGCAUGCCAUAUUUAA